rnacentral:sRNA from 1 species
CUGUAGGCCGUGUCAAACGGACAUGAUGGUGCUGAAGAACAGGGAGAUUUUUCCGUUUUCUCUCCAUGGCCAACGAAACGGCAGCCGAGCUUCCUAUCCAUCCGGCCU